rnacentral:rRNA from 1 species
AACGAACGCUGGCGGCGUGCCUAACACAUGCAAGUCGAGCGGGAAAGUUCCCUUCGGGGAGCGAGUACAGCGGCGAACGGGUGAGUAACACGUAGGUAACCUACCCUGGAGAUCGGGAUAACCUGCCGAAAGGCGGGCUAAUACCGGAUAAGACCACGAGGGCUGCGGCCCUUGAGGAAAAAGAUGGCCUCUGCUUGCAAGCUAUCACUCUGGGAUGGGCCUGCGCGCCAUUAGCUAGUUGGUGAGGUAACGGCUCACCAAGGCUGAGAUGGCUAGCUGGUCUGAGAGGAUGGCCAGCCACACUGGGACUGAGACACGGCCCAGACUCCUACGGGAGGCAGCAGUGGGGAAUAUUGCGCAAUGGGCGAAAGCCUGACGCAGCGACGCCGCGUGGGUGAUGAAGGCCUUC